UACGGAAGGCAGCACUGGGGAAUAUUGCACAAUGGGCGCAAGCCUGAUGCAGCCAUGCCGCGUGUAUGAAGAAGGCCUUCGGGUUGUAAAGUACUUUCAGUCGUGAGGAAGGUGUUAAGGUUAAUAACCUUAGCAAUUGACGUUAGCGACAGAAGAAGCACCGGCUAACUCCGUGCCAGCAGCCGCGGUAAUACGGAGGGUGCGAGCGUUAAUCGGAAUUACUGGGCGUAAAGGGCACGCAGGCGGUUAAUUAAGUUGGAUGUGAAAUCCCCGGGCUUAACCUGGGAAUGGCAUUCAAGACUGGUUAGCUAGAGUCUUGUAGAGGGGGUAGAAUUCCAUGUGUAGCGGUGAAAUGCGUAGAGAUGUGGAGGAAUACCGGUGGCGAAGGCGGCCCCUGGACAAAGACUGACGCUCAUGUGCGAAAGCGUGGGGAGCGAAAC
rnacentral:rRNA from 1 species